UAAUACGAAGGGGGCUAGCGUUGCUCGGAAUUACUGGGCGUAAAGGGCGCGUAGGCGGACAGUUUAGUCGGGGGUGAAAGCCCGGGGCUCAACCUCGGAAUUGCCUUCGAUACUGGCUGUCUUGAGUACGGGAGAGGUGUGUGGAACUCCGAGUGUAGAGGUGAAAUUCGUAGAUAUUCGGAAGAACACCAGUGGCGAAGGCGACACACUGGCCCGUUACUGACGCUGAGGCGCGAAAGCGUGGGGAGCAAACAGG
rnacentral:rRNA from 1 species